rnacentral:lncRNA from 10 species
GAAAGUGAUGAAUCAGAGGCUGAAGUGAAGUUACAAAGUUAUACUCCUAUGCAAAGGAAGACUUGGCCUGUGACCAGCCUGAUUGACUGCAGGAGGGGACCAGUCAGAGCAAGAAGGCAGCCAUCUGUAGGGCAGGAAGAGAGCCCUCACCAGAACUUGACCAUGCUGGCACCCUGAUCUCAGACUUCUAGCCUCCAGAACUGUA